UGCGGAAGGAUCAUUAAUGAAUUGCUAGGAGGUUGUUGCUGGCUCCUAUGAUGGGGGGCAUGUGCACACCUUUUACCUUUCUUUCCCACCUGUGCACCCUUUGUAGGCAGAGCCUAUGAUUUUACAUACUCAAUUAUACAUAACUAUGAUGGUGGCUCUUAAUAAUAUACAUACAACUUUCAACAAUGGAUCUCUUGGUUCUCGCAUCGAUGAAGAACGCAGCGAAAUGCGAUAAGUAAUGUGAAUUGCAGAUCUCAGUGAAUCAUCGAAUCUUUGAACGCACCUUGCGCCCUUUGGUAUUCCAAAGGGCAUGCCUGUUUGAGUGUCAUUAAAUUCUCAAAGCUCUGCUUUGGAUUUGAAGACUGCUGGCUUACUCCAGAGUCAGCUUCUUUGAAAUGCAUUAGUAGGAUCAUCAUGCUGGAUCGAUACAGGUGUGAUAAGGUAUCACCAUCUGAGAUUAGGCAAGAAAACCUGCUCAUAAUGACCCUUUGGUAUUUGACCUUUGACCUCAAAUCAGGUAAGACUACCCGCUGAACUUAAGCAUAU
rnacentral:rRNA from 1 species